UAAUUAAUGUUAAAAUUUCGUUUUUUUAAAGCAAAGUUUAUACAUUAUCAGUUAUUUUCUCCACCCUAAUACUAAUUGUAGCAAAAUCAUCAAUUUACAGUGA